GGGUUUGAUCCUGGCUCAGAACGAACGCUGGCGGCGUGGAUUAGGCAUGCAAGUCGAACGAAAACCCUGAAACUAGAUUCUUCGGAUGAAGGUUUCGGGGCGAGAGUGGCGAAAGGGUGAGUAACGCAUAGGUAACCUACCCCCAAGACGGGAAUAAUAGUUGGAAACGACUACUAAUACCUGAUAAUGUCAUGGAAUCGCAUGACUCCAUGAUUAAAAAUAGCCUCUGCAAGCAAGCCUUUGCUUGGGGAGGGACCUAUGUCCUACUAGCUUGUUGGUGAGGUAACGGCUCACCAAAGCAAAGAUGGGUAGCGGGCCUGAGAGGGUGGCCCGCCACACUGGGACUGAGACACUGCCCAGACUCCUACGGGAGGCUGCAGUCGAGAAUCUUCCGCAAUGGGCGAAAGCCUGACGGAGCGACGCCGCGUGGAUGAUGAAGGCCCUCGGGUCGUAAAGUCCUGUCAGGGGGUAUGAAAAGCAGUUAAGCAAAUACCCUUUCUGUUUGACGUCAACCCCAAAGGAAGCUCUGGCUAACUCCGUGCCAGCAGCCGCGGUAAUACGGAGAGAGCGAGCGUUGUUCGGAAUCACUGGGCAUAAAGGGCACGUAGGCGGUAAAAUAAGUCAGUUGUGAAAUCCCUCGGCUCACCCGAGGAACUGCAUCUGAAACUGUUUAACUUGAGGAUAGGAGGGGAGAGUGGAAUUCCUGGUGGAGCGGUGAAAUGCGUAGAUAUCAGGAGGAACGCCGGCGGCGAAGGCGACUCUCUGGCCUAUUCCUGACGCUGAGGUGCGAAAGCUAGGGGAGCAAACAGGAUUAGAUACCCUGGUAGUCCUAGCCGUAAACGUUGGGUACUAAGUAGAGGGGACUCCGAAGUUCUCUCUGCUGGAGCUAAUGUGUUAAGUACCCCGCCUGGGGAGUAUAGCCGCAAGGUUGAAACUCAAAGGAAUUGACGGGGGCUCACACAAGCGGUGGAGGAUGUUGUUUAAUUCGACAACGCGAAGAACCUUACCUGGACUUGACAUGCAGGGAUUAGGUCUGUGAAAGCAGGCUGAUUGCCCUUGUGGUGUAACCUGCACAGGUGUUGCAUGGCUGUCGUCAGCUCGUGUUGUGAGAUGUUGGGUUAAGUCCCAUAACGAGCGAAACCCUUAUCGUUAGUUGCCAGCGGGUAAUGCCGGGGACUCUAGCGAGACUGCCCGCGUUAAGCGGGAGGAAGGUGGGGACGACGUCAAGUCAUCAUGGCCCUUACGUCCAGGGCUACAAACGUCCUACAAUGGGCUGUACAAAGAGAAGCAAUACCGCGAGGUGGAGCAAAUCUCAAAAACAGUCCUCAGUUCGGAUUGAAGGCUGAAAUUCGCCUUCAUGAAGCCGGAAUCGCUAGUAAUCGUGCAUCAGAUACGGCACGGUGAAUAUGUUCCUGAGCCUUGUACACACCGCCCGUCAAGCCACCUAAGUAGGGUGCACCCGAAAUCCGAGGCCUGACCCUUUGGGGAGGGAUCGGCUGAAGGUGAACUCUGUGAGGGGGACUAAGUCGGAACAAGGUA
rnacentral:rRNA from 1 species